rnacentral:lncRNA from 1 species
CUGCUGUCUUGAUGACGCACAGUGCUGGCGCAAGUCGUCUUGCGCCAGGCGACUGGGUCUGAGGAGGCAGGAGUUAUUCAUUCCCUUAAGCUUUCAGGCCGGGGGGAGAAUCUUUCAGGUGGUAGCUGCAAGAACUCUUAGUAUGUUGACCUCACCUCUGCCUUCCACAUACCACUACCAGUGAGGAAUUAGGAAUGCAUGAGAAGAGUGUCCAAGAAGAGUGUCCUCAUUCAUGCAAGGCUUAAGAGAGAAUGCAGGUCAACAUCACCAUGUCAAUCAGAGGUGCAGAUGCUGAGAGCACUUUCUAGUCAAGUCCUGCAUGUUCAUUUCUGUCUCAAGUCAGCUUCUCUGAGAAUCCAAUUUAUAAAAAUAUAUUUGUGAAUGUAUAAGUAAAGUGACUUGGAUUUUGUCUACGUACAAGGACUUCUAUGCCUGCAUAAAACAGUCUGACUGGUUGGAAGAGGCCCUUUU